ensembl:lncRNA
AUGCUACUGAUUGCAACAGUUUGUCACCUAAUGCUUAUGACGGGGCUGCAUUUCAAAGCACGGUUCUGCACGGAUGUGGUAAGAUUCAGUUUGAAACAGGAAACACCCAGGUUCAUACUGCUCUCAUUAGUCCUUCAUCUGACUUCAAGCAAUAUCUAUCAGAAUGGAGAUGGACUGAGAGGCCUCGUUAAAGGUAUGAUUGACGUCCAAAGCCAACAAGGAGUUCUCCUUGCCAUCAUUUCUUUGACCUGCCUUGGUUGUGUUUAUGGUCUCUGUCUGUGCUGCAGAAAGAAAUCUUCUAUGCGACAAGAGGACAAUGACCUGUAUGACCAAGAUGAUUUCAAUCAGGACGGUAAAUUUACUGAUUGCAGAAAACCUACAACAGUCCUAAGACCAACCCAAAGAGCGAUGCCUUCAACAUCAAGGCUGUCAACGAUGAACAGGCUUGUCAAUACAGGUGACAUCCACUGGAGUUAUCAAAACCUUCCAGAUGUAAAAAAUGGCAUCAUGGAACCAACAUAUGUGGACCCAAUUCCAAAUUCAAUUUAUGCAAACGAUGAUGACACAGAAGGAGAUCCAGGAACAUACGAGAAUAUUUUUCCAACAAAAAAAGUGCAACAUGACUCAGAUAGCUGUAAUUAUGUAAACUGGGACAUUGCAAAUGAGGAUGAUGAACCAGACUACGUGAAUGAUAUGACACAGUGAAAAGGAAUGAUAUAUAUUUUUUUUUUGUAUCAGAAUUUCAAGACUUUUUUUGAUUUUCACAUUUUGAUCUCAGUGGCAUUUAAUGUUAUUUAAUUAAAGUGUUAAAAAGUGUACUACUUGACCUUUUGAAGUAGUCAAAUAAGAUUAAGUGUGGAUGUGCGUAGUCAUCUCUGCUGAUCAAUAAACAAUGAUUUAAUUAACCGUCA